rnacentral:rRNA from 1 species
GAUGAACGCUGGCGGCGUGCUUAACACAUGCAAGUCGCGCGUGAAAGGACUUCGGUCCGAGUAAAGCGGCGCACGGGUGAGUAACGCGUGGAUGAUCUACCCAUGAGUUAGGAAUAACGGCUGGAAACGGUCGCUAAUACCGAAUACGCUCCGAUUUCAACUUCGGGGGAAAGGUGGCCUCUGCUUGCAAGCUACUGCUCAUGGAUGAGUCCGCGUCCCAUUAGCUAGUUGGUGGGGUAACGGCCCACCAAGGCGACGAUGGGUAGCCGGUCUGAGAGGAUGACCGGCCACACUGGGACUGGAACACGGCCCAGACUCCUACGGGAGGCAGCAGUGGGGAAUAUUGCGCAAUGGGCGAAAGCCGGACGCAGCGACGCCGCGUGAGGGAUGAAGGUCCUCGGAUCGUAAACCUCUGUCAGGAGGGAAGAACCGCCACGGUGCUAAUCAGCCGUGGUCUGACGGUACCUCCAAAGGAAGCACCGGCUAACUCCGUGCCAGCAGCCGCCGUAA